CAUUUUAAGAGCAAACCUUCCCUCCUUGACAUACCACAGUGACAAAUUGCAUCCAAUACAUCUACCUCUGCUAGGAGGGGAACACCGUACUGAUCUGUUCUACUUCUGUCUGAACUUGUGAAGAGGAGCACAGCAUUAUGGUCUUGGUGAUUUGGACAGGACAACGCAGGUUGUGCCCUGUAAUGAUGCUGCAGGGAUGUCUUUUGAAUGAGUUCCUUCUGCAGACCAAGCUGUGAAUGGAGAUAACUAUCCACUCUACCAGAAGUGGAAAGAGUAACCUGCA